AACUUUGGAAUAGAGUGGGGGAAUAAGUACAAAAGAGUGGAGGAGGAGAGGGAGAUGAACAUGCUGUGAAACGUCCUUGAUAGGAUACGCCUUCUCGUGUAUGCGUCGUGUAUCCGUGCGCAAGAAAAUGUGCUCACUUUGGAUGCUAACGUGGUACAUGCGCUCUGUACUUUUAAUGCCGCAUCGUCGACAGGUCAGUCAUGAAACAAGACGCAAAAUCAAAUUCGAGGAUACCAUGAUCUGGCGGGCUUUCUUCAAUCACUCAAUAUCUCGUAACUGUC